UGGCUCUCGCAUCGAUGAAGAACGCAGCGAAAUGCGAUAAGUAAUGUGAAUUGCGGAAUUCAGUGAAUCAUCGAAUCUUUGAACGCACCUUGCACUCGUUGGUAUUCCGACGAGUAUGCCUGUUUGAGUGUCACUAACUUCUCAGAUCUUGCAUUGUUGUAAUGACAAUGAGAGGCUCUGGAUGUGGAGUUUUGCAGGCUCUUGUAGUCUGCUACUCUUAAAAGCAUUAGUGGUUACUGUUCCUCCACUUUGGUGUGAUAAUAUCUACGCCUAUAAGUAAGGAUGUUAAGUGUAGCUGCUUUCGAACAGUCUAGAACUACUAGACAAUUAGCACCAGUUGACCUCAGAUCAGGUAGGACUACCCGCUGA
rnacentral:misc_RNA from 1 species